AAAAUAGAGGAUAAACUUGUCGUUCGGCGAGAACAGGCCGAUCGUAAAGACGCCGUAAAUACAUCCUUGUAGGCUCGAGCCGCGCCGUCCUGGCGCGGACGCUUU
rnacentral:ncRNA from 1 species